rnacentral:rRNA from 1 species
AUUGAACGCUGGCGACAUGCCUUACACAUGCAAGUCGAACGGUAACGGGCCUUCGGGUGCCGACGAGUGGCGAACGGGUGAGUAAUGUAUCGGAACGUACCUUUCAGUGGGGGAUAACGUAGCGAAAGUUACGCUAAUACCGCAUAUUCUGUGAGCAGGAAAGCAGGGGAUCGCAAGACCUUGCGCUGAUUGAGCGGCCGAUAUCAGAUUAGCUAGUUGGUGAGGUAAAGGCUCACCAAGGCGACGAUCUGUAGCGGGUCUGAGAGGAUGAUCCGCCACACUGGAACUGAGACACGGUCCAGACUCCUACGGGAGGCAGCAGUGGGGAAUUUUGGACAAUGGGGGCAACCCUGAUCCAGCCAUGCCGCGUGAGUGAAGAAGGCCUUCGGGUUGGUUAAAGACGUCUUUCGGUCCCGGGAAGGAAAUACGUAUGGGUUAAGUACCUCGUGCGGAUGACGGUACCGGCGACUAAGAAGACACCGGCUAACUAACGUGCCAGCAGCCGCGGUAA